CUGCCACAGAGGACAGAUUAGAAUAAACAACCUUUCUUACCUGCCAGAACUGGAGAGGUGACAUAGUAAACAUUUCCCCUUUGACCUUUUCCAGGUAUUUAGUUCACACAGGUCACUUAAUGCCCUGCCAGGUUGACCUUUCAAAUGGACAGUGACCUCAGACGCAAUCAAAUUGUAUUGGUCACAUACGUACACAUGGUUAGCAGAUGUUAUUGCGAGUGUAGCGAAAUUCUUGUGCUCCUAGUUCCCGACAGUGCAGCAAUAUCUAACAUGGUAAUCUAACAAUUCCACAACAACAACCUAAUACACAUAUGUCUAAGUAAAGGAAUGGAAUAAGAAUAUAUAUAUAUAUAUACUACCAUUAAAAAGUUUGGGGUCACUUAGAUAUUUCCUUAAAUAUCUAUAUUAAAAUGAUAUAAAAUUGAUCAGAAAUACAGUGUAGACAUUGUUAAUGUUGUAAAUGACUAUUGUAGCUGGAAACGGCUGAUUUCUUAUGAAAUAUCUACAUAGGCGUUGUUGUGUCUUUGGCUAUGGCGGAUUCAAUGAUAUGACAUGCUAUUCUAUAAAAUCCUUUCUCCAUAAUUAAUAUUACCUGAUUGAGCUAAUCAUGUAAUUAACUAGAGAGUCGGGGCACCACAAAAUAAUAUUUAUAGAGCUGUUAUCUUCCGAAUAAACUCUUAAAGACCUAGUAAUAUUUUACAUCAAUAGCAGUCAAUAUUAAUUCAGUCUCAUCUGAAAGUUGUAAUUUCUUGGUUAUCUUCAAGAACCCUGGCUAACAAGUUGAAUCAGCAAUGCAAAAUAGAGUUUAAUUAUUUAUUUACUAAAUACCUAACUAAUCACACAGAAUUACAUAUACAAAGAAUGAAUCAUACCUUGAUUACAAAUUAUAUUACGAAGGAAAACGUCCCUAGUGGGCGGAACAGAUAUGACAGCUGGUUACACAAAGAAAAGGGGGCUGGGUUUUAGUGAAAGAGCGGGAAGACUGAGGAACAAAGGGAGAAGCGAUGUCUCUAUCGUAAAUACAGUAUCUUAUGCAUUCUAAAUUACCGCCCAUUUGGAAAAGGAAAAUGCAAUAAAUAUUUACUCUGAGCUGCGCUUCGGUAGGUUGGUGGAAUAUGGAAGGCCGUGUUGCCCAACCGAGUCCUUUGUCCUUUGAAGAAUGUCUCUGGUGGUCAAUUGGAUAUGUUGUAGUAACGUCGUUGUGUGGUAGACAGGUACUCUGUCUGUUCUUUCCUAGCCCACGUUUGCAGCUGCUGUUGCUAACUCAACGGCUACGAGGUAUCACUUCUGUAGUGAAUAAGAGUUCAAAGUUCAUACCAUUCGCAACCAAAGCUCACGCUGAGGUUGGCUUAGUUCUGUAGUUGACAUGUUAGUCCUUUUAACGCAGAGGCUGCAGACCUCACGUACUUGGAACAGGAGGUUACAUUUUCGUCAAGGCUUUAUAUAGUGGAGCGAGAAGGGUGUGUUUGAAAAGUUUUAUAACCCAUGUCUCUUCACAGGGGCGGGCCACUGAUUGAGCAGAGCCCUAACCUUAUGAAAACCAAAAUCUCUCAUUUGGAAGCUAAAAUUACAUUUAAUCUCUUCACCAAUAAUUUUAUAUUCAAACAUUUAAAUUGAACAACAAUUCCAUGUGAAUCCGAUAACUACAAUGUGCAGACUUUCCACUGUAGAGUUUAUGUCAUCCUAUCAUUGAUGAGAAUGUCUCAGAUGACAACCGAACUGACAUCAUAUUCAUUAAGUACCACCGCAUAUUGGUCGGAUUACCAGAAUAUAGUUAACUUCCCCCCACCUUCUGAUGUUCCCAGAAUCUCUAUGUUAACCAAGGGGUUUUCAAAUGUAACAUCAGUAGGGAAGAGAGAGGAAAAAGGAGGGAGAGGUAUUUAUGAGUGUCAUAAACCUACCCCCAGGCCAAUGUCAUGACAGUGUACAGAGGCCAUUAUCAGCAACCAUCACUCCUGUGUUCCAAUGGCACGUUGUGUUAGCUAAUCCAAUUUAUAAUUUAAAAGGCUAAUUGAUCAUUAGAAAACCCUUUUGCAAUUAUGUUAGCCCAGCUGAAAACUGUUGUUCUGAUUAAAGAAGCAAUUAAACGGGCCUUCUUAAGACUAGUUGAGUAUCUGGAGAAUCAGCAUUUGUGGGUUCCAUUACAGGCUCAAAAUGGCCAGAAAUAAAGACCUUUCUUCUGAAACUCGUCAGUCUAUUCUUCUUCUGAGAAAUGAAGGCUAUUCCAUACGAGAAAUUGCCAAGAAACCGAAGAUCUCGUACAACGCUGUGUACUACUCCCUUCACAGAACCAUGAAAACUGGUUCUAACCAGAAUAGAAAGAGGAGUGGGAGGCCCCGGUGCACAACUGAGCAAGAGGACUUUCUCUAGAUUUUCCUCAAAGUUUAGAAUGAAGAAAAACUCAAACUAAACACAAUUUAUUAUGUUUUUUUUGUUGUAUUUUUGCACCCAAAGAUAAUAGUUUCAGGAUUGUUUUAGUUUUUAACUUUUUUAUUUUAUUUUUCAAUUUCAGUUCACUAAAUAGUUUUUAUUUACUAUAAUAACCUUGUAGCCUACUUAUCUUUCCUGUUCUUAACCCCAUACCUACUGUAAAAUAUGGUGGAUGAGAAUGUAUGAGCAGAAAAUAACCCCUUACCUACUGCAAAAUAUGGUGGAUGAGAAUGUAUGAGCCAAAAAUAACCCCAUACCUACUGUAAAAUGUGGUGGAUGAGAAUGUAUGAGCAGAAAAUAACCCCAUAGAAAAUAACCCCAUACCUACUGCAAAAUAUGGUGUAUGAGAAUGUAUGAGCAGUAAAUAACCCCAUACCUACUGUAAAAUAUGGUGGAUGAGAAUGUAUGAGCAGAAAAUAACCCCAUACCUACUUUAAAAUAUGGUGGAUGAGAAUGUAUGAGCAGUAAAUAACCCCAUACCUACUGUAAAAUAUGGUGGAUGAGAAUGUAUGAGCAGUAAAUAACCCCAUACCUACUGUAAAAUAUGGUGGAUGAGAAUGUAUGAGCAGUAAAUAACCCCAUACCUACUGUAAAAUAUGGUGGAUGAGAAUGUAUGAGCAGUAAAUAACCCCAUACCUACUGUAAAAUAUGGUGGAUGAGAAUGUAUGAGCAGUAAAUAACCCCAUACCUACUGUAAAAUAUGGUGGAUGAGAAUGUAUGAGCAGUAAAUAACCCCAUACCUACUGUAAAAUAUGGUGGAUGAGAAUGUAUGAGCAGUAAAUAACCCCAUACCUACUGUAAAAUAUGGUGGAUCUUUGAUGUUUAUGGGACUAUUUUGUUUCCACUGGUCCUGGGGCCCGUGUUUAUGGUAUCUUUACCCACUACCAGGUUAUUUUUGCUCCAAAACCUGUUUGCCAGGAUGUUUAUACUUGGCCAUAAGUAGAUCUUCCAGCAAGGCAAUAACUCCAAGCACACAUCAAAAUCCACUAAAUCUACAUUUUUGUAAUGGCCAAUCUCAGUCUCCGUACUUGAAACCCAUUGAAAACCUGUGGUUUGAAUUGAAGAGGGCAGUCCAUAAGUACAGACAAAGGAUAUCAAUUAUAUAGAAUUAUUCUGUACUGAGGAAUGGUCUACAAUCCCUCCCAAUGGGUUCUCCAACUCAUAAAACAUUGAGAAAAAUGCUCAGUGCCGUUAUCCUCGCAAGGUGAGGUAUUGGAAAAACAGGCGUGCCAAUUAUUUUGACCCCAAUCCUUUUCAAGAGAAAAAAAAUGCUUGUUAAACAAAGAAUGUCUCUGAACAAUUGUAUUAGUAGUAGUAUUUUUUUUUGCAUACAAUAUACGUAGCUCAGUGUUUGAAUUAUAUUUUAUACUGUAAUUUUUGCUCAUCUUUAUCAAGGGUGUCAAUCAUUUCAGACUGUACACAUGGCUGGAGGUCUACAGUAAGUUUGGUCGAUAUGAUACACAUAGCUGGAGGUCUAUAGUAGGUCUGGUCUAUAUGAUACACAUGGCUGGAGGUCUACAGUAGGUCUAGUCUAUAUGAUACACAUGGCUGGAGGUCUACAGUAGGUCUAGUCUAUAUGAUACACAUGGCUGGAGGUCUAAGUCUGGUCUAUAUGAUACACAUGGCUGGAGGUCUAAGUCUGGUCUAUAUGAUACACAUGGCUGGAGGUCUACAGUAGAUCUGGUCUAUAUGAUACACAUGGCUGGAGGUCUAAGUCUGGUCUAUAUGAUACACAUGGCUGGAGGUCUAAGUCUGGUCUAUAUGAUACACAUGGCUGGAGGUCUAAGUCGAGUCUAUAUGAUACACAUGGCUGGAGGUCUACAGUAGAUCUGGUCUAUAUGAUACACAUGGCUGGAGGUCUAAGUCUGGUCUAUAUGAUACACAUGGCUGGAGGUCUAAGUCUGGUCUAUAUGAUACACAUGGCUGGAGAUCUAAGUCUAGUCUAUAUGAUACACAUGGCUGGAGGUCUAAGUCUGGUCUAUAUGAUACACAUGGCUGGAGGUCUACAGUAGAUCUGGUCUAUAUGAUACACAUGGCUGGAGGUCUAAGUCUAGUCUAUAUGAUACACAUGGCUGGAGGUCUAAGUCUAGUCUAUAUGAUACACAUGGCUGGAGGUCUAAGUCUAGUCUAUAUGAUACACAUGGCUGGAGGUCUAAGUCUAGUCUAUAUGAUACACAUGGCUGGAGGUCUACAGUAGGUCUAGUCUAUAUGAUACACAUGGCUGGAGGUCUAAGUCUAGUCUAUAUGAUACACAUGGCUGGAGGUCUAAGUCUAGUCUAUAUGAUACACAUGGCUGGAGGUCUAAGUCUAGAUGUUCUGGUCUCAAUGCAGCAUUCACCCCCCUUUUUGUUUUUACCCCUUUUUCCCCCUCUCCCUCGUUCCAGGGCAGAGUGGUGUGUCUGUCUCUCUCUCUCUCCUUCCCCCUCUCCUUCGUUCCAGAGCAGAGGAGUGUGUCUGUCUCUCUCUCUCUCUCCUUCCCCCUCUCCCUCGUUCCAGGGCAUAGGAGUGUGUCUGUCUCUCUCUCUCUCCUUCCCCCUCUCCCUCGUUCCAGGGCAAAGGAGUGUGUCUGUCUCUCUCUCUCUCCUUCUCCUUCCCCCUCUCCUUCGUUCCACUGAGGCUAGCUAGAGGGAUGUCUCUAGCAGCAGGGCAGAGUGGUGUGUCUGUCUCUCUCUCCUUCCCCCUCUCCCUCGAUCCACUGAGGCUUGCUAGAGGGAUGUCUCUAGCUGCAGGGCAGAGUGGUGUGUCUGUCUCUCUCUCACUCCUUCUCCCUCCACUGAGCCCUCGUUCCACUGAGGCAAGCUAGAGGGAUGUCUCUAGCAGCAGGGCAGAGUGGUGUGUCUGUCUCUCUCUCCUUCCCCUCUCCCUCGAUCCACUGAGGCUAGCUAGAGGGAUGUCUCUAGCAGCAGGGCAGAAUGGUGUGUCUGUCUCUCUCUCUCUCCUUCCCCCUCUCCCUAGUUCCAGGGCAGAGGAGUGUGUCUGUCUCUCUCUCUCUCCUUCCCCCUCCACUGAGCCCUCGUUCCACUGAGGCUAGCGAGAGGGAUGUCUCUAGCAGCAGAGCAGAGUGGUGUGUCUGUCUCUCUCUCCUCCCCCCUCUCCCUCGAUCCACUGAGGCUAGCUAGAGGGAUGUCUCUAGCAGCAGGGCAGAGUGGUGUGUCUGUCUCUCUCUCCUUCCCCUCUCCCUCGAUCCACUGAGGCUAGCUAGAGGGAUGUCUCUAGCAGCAGGGCAGAAUGGUGUGUCUGUCUCUCUCUCUCUCCUUCCCCCUCUCCCUAGUUCCAGGGCAGAGGAGUGUGUCUGUCUCUCUCUCUCUCCUUCCCCCUCCACUGAGCCCUCGUUCCACUGAGGCUAGCGAGAGGGAUGUCUCUAGCAGCAGGGCAGAGUGGUGUGUCUGUCUCCAUGAGGAUCAGUUUUGACCAGCUGCCUGGAAGGAAUACCAAUAAAGCACCACAGGAUCCUUCUUCUCCCUCAUAGUGUGUGUUCUUCUUCUCUGCAGUGGUGUGAAAUGAAGGGCUGC